UACGGGGGGGGGCAAGCGUUGUUCGGAAUUACUGGGCGUAAAGGGCUCGUAGGCGGCCAACUAAGUCCGACGUGAAAUCCCAAGGCUUAACCUUGGAACUGCGUCGGAUACUGGAUGGCUUGAAUUCGGGAGAGGGAUGCAGAAUUCCAGGUGUAGCGGUGAAAUGCGUAGAUAUCUGGAGGAACACCGGUGGCGAAGGCGGUC
rnacentral:rRNA from 1 species